AUUGAACGCUGGCGGCAGGCCUAACACAUGCAAGUCGAACGGUAACAGGAAGAAGCUUGCUUCUUUGCUGACGAGUGGCGGACGGGUGAGUAAUGUCUGGGAAACUGCCUGAUGGAGGGGGAUAACUACUGGAAACGGUAGCUAAUACCGCAUAACGUCGCAAGACCAAAGAGGGGGACCUUCGGGCCUCUUGCCAUCGGAUGUGCCCAAAUGGGAUUAGCUAGUAGGUGGGGUAACGGCUCACCUAGGCGACGAUCCCUAGCUGGUCUGAGAGGAUGACCAGCCACACUGGAACUGAGACACGGUCCAGACUCCUACGGGAGGCAGCAGUGGGGAAUAUUGCACAAUGGGCGCAAGCCUGAUGCAGCCAUGCCGCGUGUAUGAAGAAGGCCUUCGGGUUGUAAAGUACUUUCAGCGGGGAGGAAGGGAGUAAAGUUAAUACCUUUGCUCAUUGACGUUACCCGCAGAAGAAGCACCGGCUAACUCCGUG
rnacentral:rRNA from 1 species